UCUCAAAGAAAAUCUUAACAUCUUCAACUCUUCAUCUGCAGCUCCGCCACCUGUGUUUUUGUUAGUGCUACCAUCUCCAAACCAUUAAUAGUAGGUCUCACCAACAUAUUGAAAGCUUCACUGUUACAUUCAACUCCCUGUCAUUCACAGACAUGUAUUCGGUCUUGGUUUUGCUGACUUCCAUUGCUCUACUCUCCAGAACAUACCUCCACCUGCUCCUCACUCUCACUACAGAUCAGUGUUGUCUAAGAACAUCAUAGUCCAUGGAAACUCAUCUGUCAAUCUGUCCAUCACAGCGCCAACGAGAAAAAAAUCAUGUAUUCCCUUCCCCACCUUGAACUGAUAUGUCACUCUUACCACACACCUCAUCGUUAUCUUGCUGACCUCAUACAUGUCCUCCACCACCCUCACCUUGUCUGCCACUCCUGACUACUUAAUCCAGUACCAUAUUUUCUCUCUUGGCACCCUUUCAUGUUUCCUCUAAAUUCACCAAGGCACAUAGAAGCUCCUUCUGACUUUUUCUAUACUUCUCCAUCAACACACUCAUAAGUCAUACUGCUGCUCGUCAGCUCCAUUUUCAGCUUAGCUUCAACAACUCUUUAAACAGCUAUAUAGCUAAUCACCUUUAUGCCUCCAGAAUUAUUAAGCUCUGUCUAUCACUAGUGAUCCCAGUAGUCCAGUUCCUUGGAACUGUUAGUUCAAUUCCUUCUCUUUUGAGUAGGAACUCCACUACACAUUGGCUGGAGUGCAGUGAGCAAACUGAUUGAGAACACCUGAGUCGGAGCUUCACCCCAACUAAGGUAUUUUGGGCCUGGGUGUUUUGCAGCAGGGAGAAAUGGUCUAUCUUGCCUUCAUCUUUGCUAUGCUUGUCCUUCAGGGGUCAGAUUUGUUUGCAUUUGGUAUGGUUUGCUUGCUCUUACAUCUGGUGAGUGUAAAAAGCCUAAUGAUGAUUUGUCUAUUCCUAAUGUCCCUUUGAGUAGGGAUGGUUUUGUUUCCUUGGUAGGAGGUGAGGAUAAAGUCCCAGUUAAAAUUCUGAGGGACACAGGAACCUAUGACUUCUAUGUAGUGAACUCUGUGCUGCCCUUCUCAAACGAGUCUGACACAGGUGACAAGAUCCUCAGUUAUGGGAUGGGUUUCACCACUCUUCCUGUUCCUUUGCACAAGCUCAUCUUGACUAGCGAGCUCCUCCAAGGUGACAUUUCCAUGGGAGUACGUCCAGCAUUGCCCGUUGAUGGUGUUCAUUUUAUUUUGGGCAAUGGUUUGGCUGGUAGCAUGGUUUGGGCAGAUGUUCCUCUUUCAACUAUUGUGGCAUCUGCUCCACUUAAAACUGUCUCUGAUGAAGGUGUCGGUGAGUUUCCAGGUUUUUCUGCUUAUGUGGUUAGACGUGCCAUGGCAAUGAUUGAUGGUGACAUACCCUCCAGAAGUGUGACUCUGAGAAGGUUCCGUCUUUAAAUGAGUUUCCUCUAAAAGUUUCACAGAUUGUGCUGUUGCAUGAGCAACAGAAUGAUCAGAGUCUGAAAGAUCUAUUCAACUGAGUGAGCCUGAAACUGAAAUAAACAGCCGAGCGUGUGGUUUAUGUAUUGCAUAAUGGUCAGUUGUUUGGAAAGUGAGUCACUCUGGCUGACGAUGUUGUUGGAGAUGCCUGGGGUCUGCCUGGGGUGAGGGGGGUAAGAAAAAGCUACCUGAAGCUUUUAAAAUAUUUCUUUUAGCCUCAUGUCAAAAUGGAUGAUGUGGCUUACAUUAGAAGUUGUCAUGUGUGCCAGUUGGCAGAAAAACCAAUUAGGCCGUUAGGCCAGUAAUUCCUGCAAUAACUGAACCUUUAGAACACCUUAUUCUAGACUGUUUCUAGACUUUAGAACACCUUAUUCUAGACUGUAAAAACUGGAGUGUCAAUAUUUCAGAGUAAACCUAUUUUAACCUAGAUAGAGUAUUUACAACUCUAUGAGGAGUAAAAACCAGCUCUAACAUCAGAGUUAAAAGUCAGUGUAAAGUUCUUCUGACAUGCAGUGAAGACUUAACUCCACACAGUGUUGAUUAUUGGCAGUCCGCAGGCGUGCGCAGUCUCAGAGUUCUGAUGAGCAUGGAAUUUUCUCCAGAGAGGUGCCACAGUCAGAAAUAAAGCGAAUUGCAGUAAGAGCAGACCAAUACUUGAAUAUGCUGCUGCGGGUUUUGUUUGGUAGGGAGCAUAAGUAUGUUAUGCUGUCUGACCUAACAUUUGAUGCUGUCAUGAAAGAAGGUUAGAAUAUCAGGAUAAAACAAUAUAUCAAUUUUUACUUGUUCAAUACACCAACUUCAUUAUAAAACCAUAUUCUUACUCAACUACCUAAGUUGACAAGACAACCUAAAAGGCCAUGCCAUAUAAACUAUGAGGCAAAAACUCUGGGUAGUGGAUACUGUUAAGUCUCAUCUGGAUGUUUGAUGUGAAGUGUUUUUAUGUAAUUGUUUUCUAGUCUUUUUUAAGGUUUAAAAAUUUCUGACUUCAUAUUGAAAAAAAUCUUAACAACAAAGCCCGGUGGUGAACACAUCAUACAAGAGUAUGCAAAAACCAAAUCUCUGACAGAUGCAACCAGAAGACAGAUGAUAAACAUACUUGCGGCUGAGAUGACAGAAGCACAUGGGUAAGAAUCACAAAUGUAGGCUGUAAAGAAACAUUGUUAGUAUUGUAUUAUUAAUUGUGAUAUUCAAUGCCUCAUUGAAUUUAUACAUUAGGACAUCUCCCGCUUAAAGUGUAAGAGUGACGUAUGCGCAGGGGAUUGUUGCUCUGUUUCCAUAUCUACGAGACCCAUAUUCACAACAUGCAUAUCUAAGUAAAGGGGACUUUGCAACAUUAAACACGUUGUUGCUAUCAGAAAUUUUGUUAACAUUGUCAUUCUGCAUGUAUUUAAUACAUAGGAACAUUACUACAAUCCAGAAAGCGGUUCAGGAUACCUUGCAUGGUGGUUAAAGACCAUUCAAAGAAAAGCUGCAAAGGAAAGAAGCGUCUCAGUUUGCAAAUCUCGCAAAAGUAAGUUCACUUAUCAUUUAAAUGAUACUGAUGUAUCGUAGGCAGGAGUCAAUCAAAUUGUUUUUUCUUAAGUUGGUGGGCCAGGCCAUGGUCGAUCCAGAUCACUCAGAAUGGCAUGACUGUGACUGUUUUUAAUUGCCAUUGUUGGUUAUAUAGGUAAUUCUGUCAAUUGAAUGUUUUUUUGGAAUAAUUCUUGUUUAUUCGUCUGUAGGCUGAGACAGUGACAUGUCUGCUUUCUCGCUGCUGCUAAAUCUGCUACCACCAUCAGCACAAGGGCGAAAGAGACCAGGAAAGAUGUCUGCAUCUCAAGCUGUCGAUAAACUCAUCAAAUUCCUAAAAGUAUGUUUAAAAUAUAUGUUCCAUCACCUCCAUUUUCAUGAACAGUGAGGUGAUCUAAUCUACUGUCAGAGCAUAGUCACUAAAUACUGCUGUUUAAUGUGUUGUUGUAGGCUGGAACCAGUGUACAGCAGCAUCUAGACAACAUCACCGGAAGCAGUCAGCCCUACAUUCGUGCUCAGGGACCCAUAAGAAGCAGCAUUCACGCCUUCAUUGUAAUUGACAAGCAUGCACUUCCAUGUAAAGUGGCAGGUUCACUAGGAGCCCCUGAUGAACUCUUUAAGGCCCAUUAUGUCUUUGGUACAUCAUACCGUUCAUCCCUGACCAACUUUUUCACUUUUCUGCAAACAACUAUUUACAACAUUGAUAUUGGGGAAACGUCAUAUUGCUUUCUCAUCAUAGUACUGUAUGCUACUGUGAAUUGUAAAGGUUUGUUACAUUAAUCAAAUGACACUGAAAUGACACACAUAAUAAAUGUUGUUACUGUACCCUUUAUGUUUGUUGUUAUUUCCAUAAUAUAGGAUAGAUCACAGCUGGGUACUUGUUUGAGCUGUUGCAGGAAUGGAUCCAUUAGCUGGAGUGCAGUGGGCAAACUGACUGAGGACAGCUGAGUUGGAUCUUCUCCCUUAUAUGAAGGCCUAGGUGUUGUUGAGCAGGGGGGAAUGGAUUUCUCUCUUCUCAAUCUUUGCCCUUCAGAGUCAGAUUUGUUUCCAUUUGGUAUGGUUUGUCACCCAUCACAAUGACGUGAGUCAUUUAACUGACUUUGUAUAUCAGAUUACCAGUUAUUAGUUUUUUGUUAUUUUUCUUAAAAAUAAAUAUUUGUAAAUGGUUACUUUGUGUCCUUUCCCAUUUUUGUCAUAACCCAUGAGCCAGGCUGUGACACGAGGUAAAUUACAAAUUACUUUCUCCUGGGAGUGACUAUGUAAUAUCAAUAUUACAUAU